rnacentral:rRNA from 1 species
UACGUAGGGGCCUAGCGUUGUCCGGAUUUAUUGGGCGUAAAGAGCUCGUAGGCGGUUCGGCAAGUCGGAUGUGAAAUCUCCACGCUUAACGUGGAGGGGCCAUUCGAAACUGCCGUGACUCGAGUCCGGUAGGGGAGUGUGGAAUUCCCGGUGUAGCGGUGGAAUGCGCAGAUAUCAGGAGGAACACCAAUAGCGAAGGCGGCUCGCUGGGACGUAACUGACACUGAGGCGCGAAAGCGUGGGGAGCGAACAGG